CAUGAACGCUGGCGGCAGGCCUAACACAUGCAAGUCGAGCGAGCGGCGGACGGGUGAGUAAUGUAUGGGGACUGCCCGCUAGGGGGGGAGACCUCCUGGCAACGGUAGCUAAUACCGCCUACUAUCGGAUCACCUCUAUGGGAUUAGCUAGUAGGUGAGGUAUUGGCUCACCUAGGCGACGAUCCCUAGCGGGUCUGAGAGGAUGAUCAGCCACACUGGGACGGAGACACGGCCCAGACUCCUACGGAGGCAGCAGUGGGGAAUAUUGCACAAUGGGCGCAAGCCUGAUGCAGCCAUGCCGCGUGUAUGAUGAAGGCCUUCGGGUUGUAAAGUACUUUUGGCAGAGAAGCGGUAUCUGCAGAAUAAGCACCGGCUAACUACGUGCCAGCAGCCGCGGUAAUUC
rnacentral:rRNA from 1 species